rnacentral:rRNA from 1 species
AUGUACUAUCGCCAUGGUGGGGGCGAAGGAAUUAUUCUUUGUCUGUAUGUCGAUGACAUACUGAUCUUUGGAACCAAUCUUGAUUUAAUCAAGGAGGUUAAGGAUUUCCUAUCUCGCUGUUUUGAGAUGAAGGAUCUAGGAGUAGCUGAUGUUAUCUUAAACAUCAAGCUAUUGAGGGAUGAUAAUGGUGGGAUCACACUGCUUCAAUCUCACUAUGUGGAAAAGAUCUUGAGUCGUUUUGGGUAUAGCGACUGCACGCCUUCUCCAACUCCAUAUGAUGCUAGUGUGUUGCUUCGAAAGAAUCAACGAUUGCUAGAGAUCAACUGA